rnacentral:rRNA from 1 species
GAUGAACGCUGGCGGCGUGCCUAAUACAUGCAAGUCGAGCGAACGGACGAGAAGCUUGCUUCUCUGAUGUUAGCGGCGGACGGGUGAGUAACACGUGGAUAACCUACCUAUAAGACUGGGAUAACUUCGGGAAACCGGAGCUAAUACCGGAUAAUAUUUUGAACCGCAUGGUUCAAAAGUGAAAGACGGUCUUGCUGUCACUUAUAGAUGGAUCCGCGCUGCAUUAGCUAGUUGGUAAGGUAACGGCUUACCAAGGCAACGAUGCAUAGCCGACCUGAGAGGGUGAUCGGCCACACUGGAACUGAGACACGGUCCAGACUCCUACGGGAGGCGGCAGUAGGGAAUCUUCCGCAAUGGGCGAAAGCCUGACGGAGCAACGCCGCGUGAGUGAUGAAGGUCUUCAGAUCGUAAAACUCUGUUAUUAGGGAAGAACAUAUGUGUAAGUAACUGUGCACAUCUUGACGGUACCUAAUCAGAAAGCCACGGCUAACUACGUG